rnacentral:rRNA from 1 species
AAUAGAUACCCCGGUAGUCCACGCCGUAAACGAUGAGUGCUAAGUGGUUAGGGGGUUUCCCGCCCCUUAGGUGCUGCAGCUAACGCAUUAAGCACUCCGCCGUGGGGAGUACGGUCGCAAGACUAGAAACUCAAAAGGAAUUGGACGGGGGCCCGCACAAGCGGUGGAGCAUGUGGUUUAAUUCGAAGCAACGCGAAGAACCUUACCAGGUCUUGACAUCCCAUUGACCGCUAUGGAGACAUAGCUUUCCCUUCGGGGACAGUGGUGACAGGUGGUGCAUGGUUGUCGUCAGCUCGUGUCGUGAGAUGUUGGGUUAAGUCCCGCAACGAGCGCAACCCUUGUUCUUAGUUGCCAUCAUUUAGUUGGGCACUCUAAGGAGACUGCCGGUGACAAACCGGAGGAAGGUGGGGAUGACGUCAAAUCAUCAUGCCCCUUAUGGACCUGGGCUACACACGUGCUACAAUGGACGGUACAAACGGUUGCCAACCCGCGAGGGGGAGCUAAUCCGAUAAAACCGUUCUCAGUUCGGAUUGUAGGCUGCAACUCGCCUACNGUA